UCCAAGGUCGACACAGUCCACAUGGUCCACCUCCUCCUAGACCGCAAAGCCUAAUGGGACAUGUAGUUUCAUGUCAUCUCUCACUUGGGCCUCACGGAGAUGGCUACCUGUUUCCUCUCCGGUGCUUGUGUUAUCUACUGAGUUGAUGGCAAACGAAGUAGCAGCAGGCAUCACCAUGGUAAAAGACGGCCAUGACACCCAGCUGUCUGGGAUCUCCUCUGCCUGGAACCCUUGCCUGCCUUCCCCAACCCAUUUGGCACCGGUGCCCCCUCAUCUGGAUUCCCCAUUCCGCCCGGACCCCUCCCUGGAACCCCGACCUGCUUCCCUCCCGAUCACCGGAACCCACAGCAGCAAACCAGCGGCUCAUUGCCUCCCGGAGCCUCCUGGAACACCAUCGGCGAGACGUCCUUCUCUGCCUGGCCAACCCAACACCUCGGCCCCCUCCCGGAUCGUCAGAGUCCGACGUCCCGCCUCCUCCAUACACCUCGUCAUCUGCUGGACACUUUGCCCCACCAACGUCUGGCCGCCAGGGAUGCCCCACCUCCAUCCGCAACAUUCUGGUCCUCCCUGGACUACAGAUGACCGCCGAUCCCCGGCCCCCAGACCCAUCCGGUUAAAACCCUCACUCCGUCAGCCCCCCACAUUCCUGCACUCUGAUCUUCUUGAUCCCAGCCAUUAUUCACCCCCUCACAAUAAAGAUCCUUCUCAAACUCC